rnacentral:lncRNA from 1 species
CUCGGUUUUAGUGCUACGCAGGUCAGCCUCCAGCUGCCCAAUGGUGUCCUGCAGCCCGGCGGCCUCGGCGCUGUGCCUUUCCUCCAGCUCCUGCAGCUGCCUCUCGAGGGACUCGUGAGCUCCGCGCAGGCUCUCCAUCUCCACCACCCGGGCCUGCAGCUGCCGGCGGCACUCGCCCGCCUCGCGGCGGCUGGCCCGGACGGCCUCCUGGCUGCGGGCCGCCCGCUCGUGGAGGCUGGCGCAGCGGGCGCGGUACCAGUCCUCGGCCGCCUGCAGGUUGCGGGCCGGCAGCGCCUCGUACUGAGCGCGCAGCUCCCGCAGCGCAGCCGCCAGGUCGGGCCGCGCCGUCGGGGGCCCGGAGGCCGGGGGAGCGGCGGCGCGGAGCGCGGCUCCCAGCUGGGCCAGCUGCUCGGCGUGGGCGCGCCGCAGCUCCGCCAGCUC